rnacentral:rRNA from 1 species
GCGGCGAACGGCUCCGUAACACGUAGUUAAUCUACCCUCGGGAUGGGGAUAACCCCGGGAAACUGGGAUUAAUACCCACUAGAUGAUUAUACCUGAAUGGCUUAUCAUCGAAAGAGUCUGGAAACAUGCUUCCAGCGUCGCCCGAGGAUGGGACCGCGUCCGAUCAGGUUGUUGGUGGGGUAACGGCCUACCAAGCCUAUAACCGGUACGGGCCCUGAGAGGGGGAGCCCGGAGAUGGAAACUGAGAAAAGGUUCCAGGCCCUACGGGGUGCAGCAGGCGCGAAACCUCCACAAUGCGCGAAAGCGUGAUGGGGUUAUCCCGAGUGCCGUCCGAUGAGGAUGGCUUUUCAUCGGUGUAAGGAUCCGAUGGAAUAAAGGGGGGGCAAGACUGGUGUCAGCCGCCGCGGUAAUACCAGCCCCCUGAGUGGUAAGGACGAUUAUUUGGCCUAAAGCGUUCGUAGCCGGCUUAUCAAGUCUUUUGUUAAAUCCAACGAUUCAAUCGUUGGGCCGCAAAAGAUACUGUUAUGCUAGUAGGACGGGAGAGGUCGACGGUAGUCCAGGGGUAGGGGUGAAAUCCUAUAAUCCUUGGAGGACCACCAGUGGCGAAGGCGGUCGACUAAAACGUGCCUGACGGUGAGGGACGAAAGCUGGGGGAGCGAACCGGAUUAAAUACCCGGGUAGUCCCAGCCGUAAACGAUGCGGGCUAGGUGUUGGGGCAGCCACGAGCUGCUCCAGUGCCGCAGAGAAGUUGUUAAGCUCGCCGCCUGGGGAGUACGGCCGCAAGGCUGAAACUUAAAGGAAUUGGCGGGGGAGCACCACAAGGGGUGAAGGCUGCGGUUU